rnacentral:rRNA from 1 species
UACGGGGGGGGCAAGCGUUGUUCGGAAUUACUGGGCGUAAAGGGCUCGUAGGCGGCCAACUAAGUCGGACGUGAAAUCCCCAGGCUCAACCUGGGAACUGCGUCCGAUACUGGAUGGCUUGAAUCCGGGAGAGGGAUGCAGAAUUCCAGGUGUAGCGGUGAAAUGCGUAGAUAUCUGGAGGAAUACCCGUGGCGAAGGCGGUUCUCUGGGACGGUACUGACGCUGAGACGCGAAAGCGUGGGGAGCGAACAGG